rnacentral:ncRNA from 1 species
CCGCAGGAGAGCGGCCGCAAGGCCCGCCGAAGGCGCAAACUCCCAUGAUCGCUCAGGCAAACAGACUGCGGGU